UUGGAGGGCAAGUCUGGUGCCAGCAGCCGCGGUAAUUCCAGCUCCAAUAGCGUAUAUUAAAGUUGUUGCAGCUAAAAAGCUCGUAGUUGAAUUUCGGGAUCAAUUUGCUGGUCGUGCCUCUGGUACGUACUGGUAUUAUUGGUUUCUCCCUUCUGACGAACCAUGAUGUCAUUAAUUUGAUGUCGUGGAGAAUCGGGACUGUUACUUUGAAAAAAUUAGAGUGUUUAAAGCAGGCAUUAGCUUGAAUACAUUAGCAUGGAAUAAUGAAAUAGGACGUUUGAUCCUAUUUUGUUGGUUUCUAGGAUUGACGUAAUGAUUAAUAGGGAUAGUUGGGGGCAUUAGUAUUCAAUUGUCAGAGGUGAAAUUCUUGGAUUUAUUGAAGACUAACUACUGCGAAAGCAUUUGCCAAGGAUGUUUUCAUUAAUCAAGAACGAAAGUUAGGGGAUCGAAGACGAUCAGAUACCGUCGUAGUCUUAACCAUAAACUAUGCCGACUAGGGAUCGGAUGAUGUUAAUUUUUUAAUGACUCAUUCGGCGCCUUACGGGAAACCAAAGUGUUUGGGUUC
rnacentral:rRNA from 1 species